rnacentral:lncRNA from 1 species
CACCGUUCUUUUAUAUACCUAUGGCACAAAUAUUCGCCGCUGUAGAGAUGAUUUGCAAGGGUGAUUUUAGUACCAAAAUAUUGAUAGGGUUUUUAAAACGAGAAGAGGCGACACUUUUAAAAACAUUUGCACCAUUUAGGUUAUCAAGGACUAACUUUCCCCUAGAAUACGCUCAUGUCAAGUCUAACAAGUGGACAAAUUAUGCAUUGUAUUCAAAUAUUGAUUUGCCUGGAAUUAAAAGAAUACGAAAAUAAUAGACGUAUUUAGAUGCUUGAAGUAUUUUUGAGUUAUAUAUACG